rnacentral:tRNA from 1 species
CCUUUGAUAGCUCAGCUGGCAGAGCGGAGGACUGUAGUGUGUGUGUGUGUGUGUGUGAGAGUGACAGGUGAUCCUUAGGUCGCUGGUUCAACUCUGGCUUAAAGGA